UUCCCUGUGGUUCAGUGGUUAGUACUCUGCCCUUCCACUGCAGGGGACAUGGGUUCGAUCCCUAGUAGGGAAA
rnacentral:tRNA from 1 species